rnacentral:rRNA from 1 species
AGUGAACGCUGGCGGUAGGCCUAACACAUGCAAGUCGAACGGCAGCACAGUAAGAGCUUGCUCUUGCGGGUGGCGAGUGGCGGACGGGUGAGGAAUACAUCGGAAUCUACUUUUUCGUGGGGGAUAACGUAGGGAAACUUACGCUAAUACCGCAUACGACCUACGGGUGAAAGCAGGGGAUCUUCGGACCUUGCGCGAUUGAAUGAGCCGAUGUCGGAUUAGCUAGUUGGCGGGGUAAAGGACCACCAAGGCGACGAUCCGUAGCUGGUCUGAGAGGAUGAUCCGCCACCCUGGAACUGAGACACGGUCCAGACUCCUACGGGAGGCAGCAGUGGGGAAUAUUGGACAAUGGGCGCAAGCCUGAUCCAGCCAUACCGCGUGGGUGAAGAAGGCCUUCGGGUUGUAAAGCCCUUUUGUUGGGAAAGAAAAGCAGCAGGUUAAUACCCCGCUGUUCUGACGGUACCCAAAGAAUAAGCACCGGCUAACUUCGUG